AACUUAAAACUCUAAGGACUUGACGGUGUCCCACACCAACCUAGAGGAGCCUGUCUCAUAAUCGAUACUCCACGCUAAACCUUCCCCCCUCUAGCACCAACUCAGCCUAUAUACCGCCGUCGCCAGCUCGCCUAAUGAUAGACAACAAAGCAAGCAAAAGAGCCCACCACACUAACACGUCAGGUCAAGGUGUAGCUAAUGAGGGGGCCAAAGAUGGGCUACAUUUUCUCACUCCUAGAAAACCACUACAGGCUACAUGAAAUCUUAGCCCACCAGGCGGAUUUAGCAGUAAACCCCCGGCAAGACAUGCCUGAUUGAAACCUGCCCUGGGACGCGUACACACCGCCCGUCACCCUCUUCAACCAGCCCCAAACCAUACUAACAUAUAACCCCCUAGCACCUUAGACGAGGCAAGUCGUAACAUGGUAAGCCUACCGGAAGGUGGGCUUGGCCCAUAC
rnacentral:rRNA from 1 species